CCUACGGGAGGCAGCAGUGGGGAAUAUUGCACAAUGGGCGAAAGCCUGAUGCAGCGACGCCGCGUGAGCGAAGAAGUAUUUCGGUAUGUAAAGCGCUAUCAGCAGGGAAGAAAAUGACGGUACCUGACUAAGAAGCCCCGGCUAACUACGUGCCAGCAGCCGCGGUAAUAAUCACUA
rnacentral:rRNA from 1 species